AGAGUUUGAUCCGUGGCUCGAGGACGAACGCUGGCGGCGUGCUUAACACAUGCAAGUCGAACGGAACUUUCGGGUUCAGUGGCAAACGGGUGAGUAACGCGUAGGUAAUCUGCCGCAAAGAUGGGGACAACAGUUCGAAAGGACUGCUAAUACCGAAUGUUAUAAAAAUUUCGCAUGAAGUUUUUAUCAAAGAUUUAUCGCUUUGCGAGGAGCCUGCGUCCGAUUAGGCAGUUGGCGAGGUAACGGCUCACCAAACCGACGAUCGGUAACCGGUCUGAGAGGAUGAACGGUCACAUUGGAACUGAGACACGGUCCAGACUCCUACGGGAGGCAGCAGUGGGGAAUAUUCCACAAUGGAGGGAACUCUGAUGGAGCGACGCCGCGUGAGUGAAGAAGGGCUUCGGCUCGUAAAGCUCUUUUCUCGUCGACGAAUGGUCUAUUGUAUAGACAGAGACGGUAGACGGGGAAUAAGCCACGGCUAACUACGUGCC
rnacentral:rRNA from 1 species